rnacentral:rRNA from 1 species
CCCUUAGAUGUUCUGGGCCGCACGCGUGCUACACUGAGUAAUUCAAUGGGUAAGGGAACGCUAGAGCAUUACCUAAUCUUGAAAUUUGCUCGUGAUGGGGAUCGACGGUUGCAAUUUUCCGUCGUGAACGAGGAAUACCUUGUAGGCGCAUGUCAUCAUCAUGCUCCGAAUACGUCCCUGCCCUUUGUACACACCGCCCGUCGCUCCUACCGAUUGAGUGAUCCGGUGAGGCUCUGGGACCUGGACGGAAAGAGCGUUUCGCUUGUUCUGUUUGGGAAACUUGGUCGAACCUUAUCAUUUAGAGGAAGGAGAAGUCGUAACA